rnacentral:snoRNA from 1 species
CCCCUCUCAGGGUCUCAACUGGAGAGUUUCCAGUUACUCUACCAGUCAUGACCACGGGAGGAAGAGUCAAGCAGAGGCAUACCUGUUCCAUUCCUAGCUUGGGCAGUGGCUAGUGAGUGGAAGGCAAUCUGCUACAAGU